AUGUAUGAAGCACAUCCACUAAGUAGAAUCGAGAAUACCAUCAAAGUACAAGCAAAAGAAAAUAAAAAGAAACGAAAAGAAAAGGUGAGAUUUCUUUUCGAUAUUUUCUCACCACUCGCUCGCUGCACACAUCCAUUAUUUAUGUACCUGGUUGAGCCCACACAGUUGAUGGAUCUCGAAGGGCCCUUAUCUCUUGCCGGGCCGGCCAGCACGGCCCUGGCCCGCCCGCCCGACGGCCACCACCGGUCGGCGUACGACGAAGGCGCCCUCGGCGACGCCCAUGGCGUUCUUGCAGCCGUACAGGUCCAGCAACCCUACCACCCCGCCAGUGGCGAUGGACCACCGCCGCGGCCCGGCGCGGACGGCCGACGCCGGCUUCGGAGGAAACAGCGCGUCGAUGUCGAUGGCGUUGGUGCGCUCCCUGGUGCACUCUGCCAGCGCGGCGGCAAAGGGGUCGGCGGCGGCGGCGCCGAUCGGUUGGCGCGGCGUCGGGAGGGCGGCGCGCGGAUCGGCGGCGGGAGCGGGAGCGGCGGGGACGGGGAGGCGGCAGGGCCCGCGGCGCCGCGGAGGAAGGAGUGGCUCUUGGGGAUGCCCGGGUGGUGCUCCCAGGAGAAGGGGAUGGAGGUGGUGCGCGGGGAGGGCGACGGCGAGGAGGCGGCGGAGGAGGCCGUGGAGAAAGACGACGACGAGGAGGACGACGACGAGUGGGAGGCCGCGCGCUGGCGCCGGUGA
rnacentral:rRNA from 1 species